GACGAACGCUGGCGGCGUGCUUAACGCAUGCAAGUCGAACGGAAAGGCCCUGCUUUUGUGGGGUGCUCGAGUGGCGAACGGGUGAGUAACACGUGAGUAACCUGCCCUUGACUUUGGGAUAACUUCAGGAAACUGGGGCUAAUACCGGAUAGGAGCUCCUGCUGCAUGGUGGGGGUUGGAAAGUUUCGGCGGUUGGGGAUGGACUCGCGGCUUAUCAGCUUGUUGGUGGGGUAGUGGCUUACCAAGGCUUUGACGGGUAGCCGGCCUGAGAGGGUGACCGGCCACAUUGGGACUGAGAUACGGCCCAGACUCCUACGGGAGGCAGCAGUGGGGAAUAUUGCACAAUGGGCGGAAGCCUGAUGCAGCAACGCCGCGUGCGGGAUGACGGCCUUCGGGUUGUAAACCGCUUUCACCUGUGACGAAGCGUGAGUGACGGUAAUGGGUAAAGAAGCACCGGCUAACUACGUGCCAGCAGCCGCGGUGAUACGUAGGGUGCGAGCGUUGUCCGGAUUUAUUGGGCGUAAAGGGCUCGUAGGUGGUUGAUCGCGUCGGAAGUGUAAUCUUGGGGCUUAACCCUGAGCGUGCUUUCGAUACGGGUUGACUUGAGGAAGGUAGGGGAGAAUGGAAUUCCUGGUGGAGCGGUGGAAUGCGCAGAUAUCAGGAGGAACACCAGUGGCGAAGGCGGUUCUCUGGGCCUUUCCUGACGCUGAGGAGCGAAAGCGUGGGGAGCGAACAGGCUUAGAUACCCUGGUAGUCCACGCUGUAAACGGUGGGUACUAGGUGUGGGGUCCAUUCCACGGGUUCCGUGCCGUAGCUAACGCUUUAAGUACCCCGCCUGGGGAGUACGGCCGCAAGGCUAAAACUCAAAGGAAUUGACGGGGCCCCGCACAAGCGGCGGAGCAUGCGGAUUAAUUCGAUGCAACGCGUAGAACCUUACCUGGGUUUGACAUGGAUCGGGAGCGCUCAGAGAUGGGUGUGCCUCUUUUGGGGUCGGUUCACAGGUGGUGCAUGGCUGUCGUCAGCUCGUGUCGUGAGAUGUUGGGUUAAGUCCCGCAACGAGCGCAACCCUUGUUCACUGUUGCCAGCACGUUAUGGUGGGGACUCAGUGGAGACCGCCGGGGUCAACUCGGAGGAAGGUGGGGAUGACGUCAAGUCAUCAUGCCCCUUAUGUCCAGGGCUUCACGCAUGCUACAAUGGCUGGUACAGAGAGUGGCGAGCCUGUGAGGGUGAGCGAAUCUCGGAAAGCCGGUCUCAGUUCGGAUUGGGGUCUGCAACUCGACCUCAUGAAGUCGGAGUCGCUAGUAAUCGCAGAUCAGCAACGCUGCGGUGAAUACGUUCCCGGGGCU
rnacentral:rRNA from 1 species